rnacentral:misc_RNA from 1 species
GAUGAAGAACGCAGCGAAAUGCGAUAAGUAGUGUGAAUUGCAGAAUUCAGUGAAUCAUCGAAUCUUUGAACGCACAUUGCGCCCCUUGGUAUUCCAUGGGGCAUGCCUGUUCGAGCGUCAUUUGUACCUUCAAGCUCUGCUUGGUGUUGGGUGUUUGUCUCGCCUCUGCGUGUAGACUCGCCUCAAAACAAUUGGCAGCCGGCGUAUUGAUUUCGGAGCGCAGUACAUCUCGCGCUUUGCACUCAUAACGACGACGUCCAAAAGUACAUUUUUACACUCUGGACCUCGGAUCAGGUAGGGAUACCCGCUGAACUUAAGCAUAUCAAUAAGCGGAGGA